rnacentral:tRNA from 1 species
GGGGAUGUAGCUCAGUUGGUAGAGUGCUUGCCUAGUGUGCAUGAAUCCAUGGGUCUCAUCCCCA